rnacentral:rRNA from 1 species
GAUGAACGCUCGCUACAGGCUUAACACAUGCAAGUCGAGGGGAAACGCUGAGAGAGCUUGCUCUCUUAGGCGUCGACCGGCGCACGGGUGAGUAACGCGUAUCCAACCUACCCAUUACAGGGGGAUAACCUUGCGAAAGUAAGACUAAUACCCCAUGGCAUUUUAUGGUGGCAUCAUUAUAGGAUUAAAGAUUUAUUGGUAAUGGAUGGGGAUGCGUCUGAUUAGCUUGUUGGCGGGGUAACGGCCCACCAAGGCAACGAUCAGUAGGGGUUCUGAGAGGAAGGUCCCCCACAUUGGAACUGAGACACGGUCCAAACUCCUACGGGAGGCAGCAGUGAGGAAUAUUGGUCAAUGGGCGAGAGCUUGAACCAGCCAAGUAGCGUGCAGGAUGACGGCCCUAUGGGUUGUAAACUGCUUUUAUAGGGGAAUAAAGUGAGCUACGUGUAGUUUAUUGCAUGUACCCGAUGAAUAAGGACCGGCUAAUUCCGUG